CUCCCUCCCCUCCUUGCUGAAGUCACCACCAGAAAAUGACACAGUCUUCCAGAUGGGGAGGAAGAUAUUCUUGGACUGCCUUACUACUGUGCCUCGUCACCUGGGGCCUGAGAGAGCUAGCGGUGUCUGCAAAUUUUCCAACUCUCUAAAGAAGAUGAUGUCCACCAGUUUGCUAAGAGAAAGCCCCUGAAUAAAGACAGAAGCUGAGUCUCAGCAAUGAGAAAUGACGGUUACCCAGAAAGUUGUUGGAGAAAAUUGUUCUAGAUAAUUGUCUGGAUGGUAAGGCCCUAAAGUACAUUUAUUAAGACCAAGUCCAUAGCCACUCAACCCCUACAGAUAUACUAAUGGAACCUAGGUGUGGUAGAUCAUAUAAUUAAUCUCACGCCUUUUCAAUCGCAUUAUAAGUAUAUCCAUGCCAUUACCACAGCCUUGUGGUGGGUGGAGUGUAUUUGCCCAUCCUUGACUUUGGGUUUGACCUUGUGGUUAAUGGGAUAUUAGCAGAUGCAACUCAAGCAGAGACUUGAAAUGUGCUAGCAUGGUUGGUCUUGCCCUCUUCUGCCAUCAUCAUGAAGAGAACACGCCUCAUGGAAAUGCUAGUACCAGAACAAGUGGCACCUGGACCUGACUUGCAACCUGGAGAAAAGUCAAAUGGCAUUCAGGCAAAAUUAACAGUAUCCCAGCUAGUCUGCUGAUGAGCAGGAGAUGAUGCUUAUUUUUCUGUGCUGCUGGGAUUUUGUGGUUGUUAUGUAGUGAGAACUGAUGAAUAAAUACACAUAGAAUUGUGCUCCUAUCCAACCCAGAGGAAAUUUACAUCCUUAAUGAAACUCCAAUUACCACUUCCCCAAUGCACGAUAUAUAGCAACAUACCACAGAUGGGGUGGCUUAAACAACGGAAAUUUAUUUUCUCACAGUUCUUGAGGCUAGACGUCCAAGGUCAAGGUGUUGGCAGGGUUAGUUCUCCUGAGGCCUCUCUUCUUGGCUUGCAGAUGGCCACCUCCUCCUGUGUGCUCACAGUCUCUCCUCUGUGCACACACAUCCCUGGUGUCUCUCUGUCCAAAUUUCCUCUUCUUAUAAGGACACCAGUCAGAUUGAAUUAGGGCCCAACUUAAGAACUUCAUUUUAAUUUAGUCACUUCCUUAAAGAACUUAUCUCCAAACACAGUCACAUUCUGAGAUGUGGAAAUUAGGGCUUCAACAUGGAUUUUGAGAGGGACACAAUUCAGUCCCUAAUAGACAGGUUAUAUUUGACUAGAGUGACCAUUUUUUGUCUGAACCCAGGCAUAGUAAGAGUACUAAAAUGUCGAACCACUUCAGAUGCUAGGAUAACCAGUGUAAACUAGGGCUGAAUAUAUGUCCAUACCAUGUGGUGGUGCUGGUGAUAGGGGUGUAUCCAGCCUCCUUCACUGGGGAUGCAGGUCUAUUCCAACUGUUUCGACCACUGUUAUAAAAGCUUGUUUUAGUUCUCAGGCCGACUCAGGAAGGCCGCGGCUGACCAAAGUGAAAAAGGAUUUAAUUAACCUCCUUGAAUAUCACCCCUUAUCUGCUUUCUCCCUUCUGCCAGGUGAUCCCCUCUCACCUCUCCUCAAAAGCUUGCAUGUAGACCCGGUCUCUUGCACAGCCUUUGUGUUUAUGCUGCACAAACCUUGAAGUCAGACUCAGUAGCACUUUGCAUUUACCAUGAAUACUUAGUAACAUUAGUGAGCUCUAUGGAUUCUGUUAACAAUUUUUCAUGGAGAAUGAGAAUGUUCUCCUUACUCACCACCAAUGAACAUAAUCUAGUUUUCAAAAUCACAAUAAAUAAUUCUUUUCCUCAUUUCAUACUGUUUCUACCUCUUGUACUUUGACAUCUUCCUAUAUUCAGAUAUCAGGUGAACAUUCUUUCUCUCUUUUUUUUUUUUUUUUUGAGACAGAGCUUCACUCUUGUUGCCCAGGCUGGAGUGCAAUGGUGCGAUCUCUGAUCACUGCAACCUCCACCUCCCAGGUUCAAGCAAUUCUCCUGCCUCAGCUUCCCUCGCACAUAGCUGGGAUUACAGGUGCCCGCCACCACGCCUGGCUAAUUUUUGUAUUUUUAGUAGAGACAGGGUUUUGCCAUGUUGGCCAGGCUGGUCUAAAACCCCUGACCUCAGGUGAUCUGCCUGCCUCAACCUCCCAAAGUGCUGGGAUUACAGGAGUGAGCCACCACGCCCGGCUGAACUUUCUUGAGUAGCAACCCCAUUGGACAUUUAGUCCAGUCUUUCUUGUCUUGCAGAGAACCUGCAAAACCAGCCAGGCUUCUUUCUAUGGGGGCAACUGACACAUGGACAAGAAAGGCAAUCAUUUUUAGAUCCUGGGAAUGACUCAAGAGGAAGGUUUGACAUCACUAGGAUGCUUCUCAGUGUAUCGCUGAUCACACAGCAAUGGCAACAGCAGAAUGAAUAUUGGCUAGACACCUAAAGCUAGAACAUCAGGAGUAUAUGAGGCACCUCUUUUAGUACUCCAAAUGACUCUCUGGUGCAACCUUUCCUUGUUGCAUGUGGGUACACCUGUGUUUAUAGCAUGAGCAGAUGUGUGGCUGGUUGCUGAUGCCAUCAUGAAAGAUAAUACCCAGUGCCCAUAUUGUAGGAUUGUCUGAACCACUGAAGACUUUUUGCCUUUUCUUAAUAACAGUGACUCUCAACCUGGGCUGUACUUUAGAUCAUGUGGUCACGUGGAGAGCUUUCAAAAAUCCUGACACUCAAAUAACACUCCUGGCCAAUUAAAACCACUGGAGGUGAGAUCUAGGCAUCAGUAUUUGUUUAAAUUUUUUUUGUUUUUGUUUUUUGAGAUAGGGUCUUGCUCUGUCCCCCAGGCUAGAGUGUAGUGGUGUGAUAAUAGCUCACUGCAGCCUCCAACUUCUGGGCUCAAGCAAUCCCUUUGCUUCUGCCUCCCAAGUAGCUAGGACUACAGGCACUCACCACCACACCUGGCUUAUUAAAAAACUUUUGUUUUGUAGAGAUAUGGUCUUGCUCUGUUGCCUGGGGUUGGCAUCAGUAUUUUUAAUAGCUCUGUUGAUUAUUCCAUGGUGCAGCAAAGUUUGAGAAGUUCCUGGCUACUCAAAGCACGGUUAGUGAUCAACAGCGUAGCCAUCCCUGGGAGCUUGUCAGAAAUGCAGAAUCUCAGGCCCCACCCCAGACCUGCAGAAUCAGAAUCUGUGUUUUAUCAAGCUCCCUGGGUGAUUCCUAUCCACAUUAAUGUUUGAGGAGCUCCGAGCUAGAUCAGCUGUUCUUACCUUUGCCUGCACAUUAGUAACGUUUGGGGAGCUUUAAAAAUGCUGGUGCUCUUGGCUGCACGGCAAACUCCACUCAGUCACAACCACGGGGUUAAGCACCAGGAGCCAGGAUUUUUUUUUAGAUCUCUGUGGUGAUUCAAAUUGAGAACCACUGCUCUAGGCUCUAAAAUUUAUCUCUGUUUGUAGCCCUUGUUCCCAGCACACAAAUGCGAAGGACUUGAGAGGUCUUAGAGCCAUGAUGUUGCCCGAUGCCGUCACACCAGCCAGGAGUGAUGUUACAUCAGAAGAGUUGCACAGUGAUUGCAGCUGGGGCUUCUCUACUGCCUUGGUGCUGCCUCAUUUGUAAAGAAACCGUGGCUGGUGGCACCUGGAGGUUCUUGAAGUGAAUACUAACAGAGGGUCAGAAAUAGUGCCCAGACAUUUAUUAGGAACCUUCAGGAAAAGGCCUGCCAGAAGGAGAUUCAGACCUGUCUCCCACCUGCAGUUACACUGGCAUAGGCGAGAUCAAGCUGGAAUGAGUGGGAAAACACCCCCAGUUGUGAAGGCCUAAGAUGCCUGGAAAUAACUUUAGGAUCAAACUACCUUCUUUUUUUUUUUUUCUUUUUUUUUUUUUUUGAGACCAAGUGUCACUCUUAUUGCCCAGGCUGGAGUGCAGUGGCAUGAUCUUGGCUCACCCCAACCUCCACCUCCCAGGUUCAAGCGAUUCUCCUGCCUCAGCCUCCCGAGUAGCUGGGAUUACAGGCAUGCGCCACCACCCCCAGCUAAUUUUGUAUUUUUAGUAGAGACGGGGUUUCUCCAUGUUGAUCAGGCUGGUCUCGAACUCCCAACCUCAGGUGAUCCACGUGCCUCGUCCUCCCAAAGUGUUGGGAUUACAGGCGUGAGCCACUGCGCCCCGGCGAUCAUACUACCUUCUUUGGUGCUGUUGAAUGUUCUUAGCCAAUGGCAUUAUUUACUUACUCUAUAAAUAAUACCAUUUUUAUUCUAUUAAAUGCUUAACAGUGCAAAUAUUACGGGUUUAAUUGUGUCUCCCUAAAACAGAUAUGUUAAAAUCCUAACCCCCAGUAGCUCAGAAUGUGACCUUAUUUCAAAAUAAGGUGUUUACGAAAGUAAUGAAGUUAAGAUUAGAUCAUUCGAGUGGGCCCUGAUCUGAUAUGACUGAUAUCCUUAUAAAAACAGGAAAUCUGGACACAGACAGGCACAUAGAGGGAAGACGACAUGAAGGCCCACAGGGAGAAGAUGGCUGUGACUGUAGUGAUCCAUCUACAAGUCCAGAAAUGCCGAGGAUUUUGCUGGCAAACACCAGAUGCUAGCAAGAGGCAAGAAAGGGUUUCCUCUAGAGCCCUCAGAGAGAGCAUGGCCCGACAACACCUUGAUUUCAGAGGUCUAGCCUCCAGGACUGGAGACUAUAGAUUCCUGUUGUUUUAAGCCACCUAGGUUUUAGUAGAUUGUUACAAUAGUCCUAGGAAACUAAUACAAGCAGUAAGUUUAAAAAUGAAUUAAGAAGACAUUCUAAAAAUUAAAUCUAAAGAAAAAAAUCAAACUGGAAGAGGAAAUUAUAAAACUGAAUAGUUAUUUUGAAAGAUUUUUAUUGAUAAAUAUAAGUGCACAGAUGCUUAAAAUAAAAAGCUGAAAAGCGCUUUGCUUAAAGAUGUCAUAUUUUCCAGCAAGCAAUGAAGGGAACUUAGAGCC